rfam:Triticum aestivum genome assembly, contig: Triticum_aestivum_CS42_TGACv1_scaffold_032342_1BL
GUAGUAUUCCCUCCGUCCCAAAAUUCUUGUCUUACAUUUGUUUAGAUACGGAUGUAUCUAACACUAAAAUGUAACUAGAUACAUCCGUAUUUUUUCAAAUUUAAGACAAGAAUUUUGGGAUGGAGGGAGUACAAA